rnacentral:rRNA from 1 species
GGACCCGCACAAGCAGCGGAGCGUGUGGUUAAUUCGAGGCUACACGAAGAACUUACCAGGGUUUGACAUGCAAGUGGUAGGAAUCCGAAAGGUGACCGACCCUUCGGGGAGCUUGCACAGGUGCUGCAUGGCUGUCGUCAGCUCGUGUCGUGAGAUGUUGGGUUAAGUCCCGCAACGAGCGCAACCCUUAUCAUUAGUUGCUACGCAAGGGCACUCUAAUGAGACUGCCGGUGACAAACCGGAGGAAGGUGGGGAUGACGUCAAGUCCUCAUGGCCCGUAUGGGUAGGGCUUCACACGUCAUACAAUGGUCGGUACAGAGGGUUGCCAAGCCGCGAGGUGGAGCCAAUCCCAGAAAGCCGAUCGUAGUCCGGAUUGUUCUCUGCAACUCGAGAGCAUGAAGUCGGAAUCGCUAGUAAUCGCGGAUCAGCAUGUCGCGGUGAAUACGUUCCCGGGUCUU